rnacentral:tRNA from 1 species
GUCUCCUUGGCGAAAUUGGGAUCGCGUUCGACUGAAGAUCGAAAGGUACCUGGGUCGAAACCGGGAGGAGACA